UAAAGGUAAGGUAAAGGUGAGGUAAAGGUAAAGGUGGUGUAAAGGUAAAGGUGAGGUAAAGGUGAGGUAAAGGUAAAGGUAAGGUAAAGGUAAAGGUAAAAGUAAGGUAAAGGUGGUGUAAAGGUAAAGUAAAGGUGAGGUAAAGGUAAAGGUAAAAGUAAGGUAAAGGUGGUGUAAAGGUAAAGUAAAGGUGAGGUAAAGGUAAAGGUGGUGUAAAGGUAAAGGUAAGGUAAAGGUGAGGUAAAGGUAAAGGUGAGGUAAAGGUAAAGGUGAGGUAAAGGGGAUAUAAAGGUAAAGGUGAGGUAAAGGUAAAGGUGAGGUAAAAGUAAAGGUGAGGUAAAAGUAAAGGUAAAGGUGAGGUAAAAGUAAAGGUAAAGGUGAGGUAAAAGUAAAGGUAAAGGUGAGGUAAAGGUGAGGUAAAGGUAAAGGUAAAGGUGAGGUGAAAGUAAAGGUAAAGGUGAAGUAAAAGUAAAGGUAAGGUAAAGGUAAAGGUGAGGUAAAGGUAAAGGUGAGGUAAAGGUAAAGGUGAGGUAAAAGUAAAGGUAAAGGUGAGGUAAAGGUAAAGGUGAGGUAAAGGUA